UUUUUAUUAAGGAUUAUAUACUUUUAAAUUACUGAUUUAAGGAUUGAUUAUGGUAAUUAGGGAUCAGCAUCCAUUAAUAAAAUACGAACUUAUAUGAAUUUGAUAAUUUAUAUAUGUGAUGAUUUAUUUUUUUUAUUUUCAAUAGAUGAUGCACUCAAAAUAUAUUUUGAGUCCAUUAAUUUAUUGUGGAGAAUUUAACACUGAAGUGUUAAAUAUGAAUCUUUUAUCGAUUGUUUACUUAAGCCCAUGAGUAAUUUAAUUUAUGUUAGAGGCAAGCUCAAGUGAAUUUUAUGCUUCAAUGAGAAUUAGGCUUAUAUAUCUUAAUGUGUUUAUAUGAGAUUAAGCACAUAUGGUUCUCAUUCAUCCACAUCCCUCUCAUUCUUCUAUUAAACCAAUCACCAAUACGUUCACAAUUUUCUUCACCUACUACUUCACAAUUUUCUUCACCAAUACGUUCACAAUUUUCUUCACCUACUACUUCACAAUUUUCUUCACCAAUACGUUCACAAUUUUCUUCACCUACUACUUCACAAUUUUCUUCACCUCUGAAGUCAAUCUCCAAAUAGAAUUUUGCUUCUUUAAAACCUAUUCCACUAUCUCAACUCACCCAUUCCCACCUCUGCAGCAAGUUUUAUAAAGUAAUAGAGUGAAGAUUAUUCAUCUCAUUCAAUUCUUCUUCACAAUUGGCUUCUAAUCUAUGCCAUAUAUAAAAUCUGCAGAGACUAAUACCAUACACCUAUUCAAGGUUCAAAUAAACAAAAGCGUCUGAGUAACCUAUCGCGCUAAGGAAAGAGAAUCGUUGUCUUAAGUAGCAAAACACUGCAAUCAGGUUGAGCUGAUGUGAUGAUGGUGCUGCAAUGAGCGGAGUCUCCAGGGUUGUUAAUAAAUAGUUAACCUGUCUAGAAUAUGUCUUCAUACAUAUGUCUAGCUACUUUCCGCUGCAAGAUGUUGUUGAUGUUAUAGUAUGUUAUGUCAUACUUUGAGUCUUAAGAGAAUGGUUUCAUAUGAUGUAUAACUUGAUUAAUGAUAUUAAUUAAGUUUUAUGCUGUCUUUCA